CAGGAACCACAGAUGGAAAUGAUUCAGCAGAGAAACAAGGAGGUCCCAGUGACUCAUCUGACAGCACUGAAAAACCAGAGGUUGACGGUGCGCCCGACACAUCAGACACAAACAGUGACAAAAGCCUGGAUGAAGCCACCAGCGGCCCAGAUUCGAUAGACACAACAGAUACUGAUAGUGACACAGAAAAAGACACAGACACAGAUACUAAUACAGAAACAGAUGCAUCACAGCAGAAGACAGGCGAUUCAGAUGAGAACAACGAGAAACCAUCAGCGGAGGACAGCAAAGAUGCAGAUCAUGUUGAUACACAUUCAAAAGAAGAGGAAUCUACAGGUAAACAAACACACUUACUGAAAAAAAGACACA